GGGCCUGUAGCUUAACUGGAAAAGCAUCUGCCUUGCAAGCAGAAAGAUGUCGGUACUCUAGCGAGAAGGCUUACGCCUACAA
rnacentral:tRNA from 1 species